CCUACGGGAGGCUGCAGUGGGGAAUAUUGGACAAUGGGCGAAAGCCUGAUCCAGCCAUGUCGCGUGUGUGAAGAAGGCCUUCGGGUUGUAAAGCACUUUCAGUGGGGAAGAAAGCCUUGGGGCUAAUACCCUCGAGGAAGGACAUCACCCACAGAAGAAGCACCGGCUAACUCCGUGCCAGCAGCCGCGGUAAUACGGAGGGUGCGAGCGUUAAUCGGAAUUACUGGGCGUAAAGCGCGCGUAGGCGGUCUGAUAAGCCGGUUGUGAAAGCCCCGGGCUCAACCUGGGAACGGCAUCCGGAACUGUCAGGCUAGAGUGCAGGCGAGGAAGGUAGAAUUCCCGGUGUAGCGGUGAAAUGCGUAGAGAUCGGGAGGAAUACCAGUGGCGAAGGCGGCCUUCUGGACUGACACUGACGCUGAGGUGCGAAAGCGUGGGUAGCAAACAGGAUUAGAUACCCCGGUAGUC
rnacentral:rRNA from 1 species